UACGUAGGGUGCAAGCGUUAUCCGGAAUUACUGGGCGUAAAGGGUGAGUAGGCGGCUAAGCAAGUCAUAUGUGAAAGCCCGGAGCUAAACUUCGGGACUGCAUAAGAAACUGUUUGGCUAGAGUACAGGAGAGGUAAGCGGAAUUCCUAGUGUAGCGGUGAAAUGCGUAGAUAUUAGGAAGAACACCAGUGGCGAAGGCGGCUUACUGGACUGAGACUGACGCUGAGGCACGAAAGCGUGGGGAGCGAACAGG
rnacentral:rRNA from 1 species